UUCAGGGUCAUUUUUUCGUUACUUCCCGAAAAUGCCCUCCAUCUUCUUUUCCAAAACACAACGCUUUCUUUCCUCUUCGGUUCCAUCACCAUAGCUAACACCAUCACCACCGCCACUAUCAUCUUCCACCAGUUUUCAAAUCUAGUUUUUCCACCACCACCAGUAACACCAUCAUCACCAAUUUUAUGUUACAUUAAUUUCUCUAUCUCGAUUCACCUUGGUAAGUCGUUCACUACACCAUCAGCACCGCCGAACCAGCUCCGCCACCAAGUUCAUUCACAAUCUUAAUAAAUUUAUCAAUUGACGCAGGGAAUUCGAUUUGCUGGUGUAUGUUUUUAAUAAGGUCUUUGAUGAAUUUGCGCAGGGAGUAGCACCAGCAAGUUCAUCUUAGAAUUAGCAAAGAUACAGAUGAUCCUUAACUAGAGUGGCCUCCUACUAAAAAACAUGCUCGGCAAAACUGUGAAAUUGGAAAGGUAUGUGUAAUUAGUCCUCUAUUAAAUUGUAGGAAGCUGUCAUACUUACUCAUGUAUUUUGGGCUGAAAAUCUAUCAGAAGUAUUCUACAAGUUCUUAAUAUCUAAGUAAUUGGCAGUAAAACAAAAAAUCAAAUAGGAAAGUUGUUUGGGCUUGACCAGUUAGGCAAAAUUUGUACUUCUCUAGAAGUCAGAAGACAGUAGUUCGUGCUUGAUCACAUAUGCCAUGUUAGGCGAGGAAGCACGAUCCAGAACCUUCAUCUGACCAGCCUCUAGAGGUCAAGUGUAUUUUUGCCGUUAGGUUAAUUAGGUUGUAGUGGAAGGUUAAUUAGUGCAUCUUUGCUGCAAGGUUUAUUAGUGUAUAUAGUUUCGAACUUGAUUAGAUAUUUGGUUAAUUACCCUGUAUGGAUUUUUAGAUUUGUUGGUUAAUUACCCUGUAUGGUUUUCUGUAUUUGUAUGUUUGUUGGAUGGUGAAUCGACAAAAGUGUUGGUAACAGAUGGUUUCUUCUAAAGUUUGUGUGAUGCCAGAGGCUUUGGAAUUUAUCAAAGAAGAAGUUUCAUGCUGAAGGCUGCCACUCAUCACCUUGGUUGAUGCAGCUGGGAAUCAACUAUACCAUACGAGUCAUCGCUAGAACGAGUACCAUAAAUAUUGUUUAUACAUAUGCCUUAACUUAUAUGAUAAUGAUAACAUUGCUGAACAAAAAAAAAUCACUUUCGGCGGACAGCAGGAUCCGAUCUCUUAUUAAUUUCUGAUUGAAAAAAAAAUGUUUGUUUUACGGA